rnacentral:rRNA from 1 species
GACGAACGCUGGCGGCGUGCUUAACACAUGCAAGUCGAACGGAAAGGCCCUGCUUUUGUGGGGUGCUCGAGUGGCGAACGGGUGAGUGACACGUGAGUAACCUGCCCUUGACUUUGGGAUAACUUCAGGAAACUGGGGCUAAUACCGGAUAGGAGCUCCUGCUGCAUGGUGGGGGUUGGAAAGUUUCGGCGGUUGGGGAUGGACUCGCGGCUUAUCAGCUUGUUGGUGGGGUAGUGGCUUACCAAGGCUUUGACGGGUAGCCGGCCUGAGAGGGUGACCGGCGACAUGGGGACUGAGAUACGGACCAGAGUGCUACGGGAGGCAGCAGGGGGGAAUAUGGCACAAUGGGCGGAAGCCGGAGGCAGCAACGCCGCGUGCGGGAUGACGGCCUUCGGGUUGUAAACCGCUGUCGCCUGUGACGAAGCGUUAGUGACGGUAAUGGGUAAAGAAGCACCGGCUAACUACGUG